rnacentral:rRNA from 1 species
UACGAAGGGGGCGAGCGUUGUUCGGAUUUACUGGGCGUAAAGGGCGCGCAGGCGGCGGAUCAAGUCAGAUGUGAAAGCCCCGGGCUUAACCUGGGAAUUGCAUUUGAGACUGCAUAGCUAGGGUGCGGAAGAGGGAAGCGGAAUUUCCGGUGUAGCGGUGAAAUGCGUAGAUAUCGGAAGGAACACCAGUGGCGAAAGCGGCUUCCUGGUCCAGCACCGACGUUCAGGCACGAAAGCGUGGGGAGCAAACAGG